GGAAGAUGGCUUCCUGACCUCUGUGUGUGUGAUGAGGGGCUGGAGAUUGAGUUCAAUUUCCAAUGGCCAAUGAUUUAAUCAAUCAUACCUACGUAAUGAAGCUUCUAUAAAAUCCCAAAAGGACAGGAUUCAGAAAGUUUCCUGGCAAAUCAACAGUGAAAUUACUGAUGUGCCAUGACCUUCACUUGCAGUUCAGUGCUCCAGAGGCUGAGUCUGGGUUUGGAAGGACAAUGAGUGACGAGCCAGAAGAUUGCAAAAAAUGUAGGCAGGAAGAGAAAGCAAUACCACUAUACAAAGCAUAAAUGAUAGAGCAUUGUGGCUUUGUGAAAUGCAAUAAAAUAGAGAGUGUGAAGACAGAUGAGGGCAUAUUGCAUACAACAGCAUCUGACACAGCAGUGAAAAUAAAUAAAUCGCCACUACACACAGCACCAUGGAUGAACCCCACAAGCACAGUGUGAAGCAGAAGAAAGCUAGAUACAAAAGAUGACCUGUGAUUGCAUUGAUAUACAAAUUUCAACACAGAUGAAUACUCUGCUGCUGAGGUCAGGAUAAUACUUUUUCAUGGUGAAGGGAGGGUGUUGGGGUGUGAAGAAGGUUUGAGGGGCUAAGUGCUGACUGCAUGGUGUGUUCACUUGUGAAAAUUCACUGGGUUGAAACUUGUCAUUUGUGCACCUCCUUCAUAUUUGCUAAAACAAUAAAACUCCACAAAAAAAAGAAAGGCAAGUGGAAAUUCAU